GAUGAACGCUAGCGACAGGCUUAACACAUGCAAGUCGAGGGGCAGCGGGUGGUGGCAACACAUCGCCGGCGACCGGCGCACGGGUGAGUAACGCGUAUGCAACUUGCCUAUCAGAGGGGAGUAACCCGUCCGAAGAACGGACGUAAUACCGCCAUGAAACAAGGGGUCCCGGCCAUGGGGAGUAUUUGUUAAAGAAUUACAUCGCUGAUAGAUAGGCAUGCGUUCCA
rnacentral:rRNA from 1 species